CAUUAGCCCCGAUUGCAGCGGCAUCCUUUUGCGACGCGGAGCGGAGCAAAAGAUACAGCGGAAAGCGGGAAAAAGC
rnacentral:sRNA from 2 species